rnacentral:rRNA from 1 species
AUGAACGCUGGCGGCGUGCCUAAUACAUGCAAGUCGAGCGAACGGACGAGAAGCUUGCUUUUCUGAUGUUAGCGGCGGACGGGUGAGUAACACGUGGAUAACCUACCUAUAAGACUGGGAUAACUUCGGGAAACCGGAGCUAAUACCGGAUAAUAUUUUGAACCGCAUGGUUCAAAAGUGAAAGACGGUCUUGCUGUCACUUAUAGAUGGAUCCGCGCUGCAUUAGCUAGUUGGUAAGGUAACGGCUUACCAAGGCAACGAUGCAUAGCCGACCUGAGAGGGUGAUCGGCCACACUGGAACUGAGACACGGUCCAGACUCCUACGGGAGGCAGCAGUAGAGAAUCUUCCGCAAUGGGCGAAAGCCUGACGGAGCAACGCCGCGUGAGUGAUGAAGGUCUUCGGAUCGUAAAACUCUGUUAUUAGGGAAGAACAUAUGUGUAAGUAACUGUGCACAUCUUGACGGUACCUAAUCAGAAAGCCACGGCUAACUACGUG